CUUCUACAUCCACCUGAUGCUGUCCCUUCUCUUCUUCUCUAUCAGGGCAGCAUCAACCCCCUCUUCUCUGUCGGUGAGGAACUCCACUAGAGAUUGCGUUUUGGAGCUCCCUCUACUGUCGCUCGAUCUGGCCUCCCCCGCUCAGUUGUUGCCCCAUGCUCCGGAUCAUGCCACAGCAGGCCUCGCCCUGACCAACAGGCUCGGAUCCAUCCCUUCCCUCCUCCUGGCCUCCACAUGCGUAGACUGUGGCGCCAGAUCAAGGGAGCCUGCCAAUGGAGGUCGCCGCCUCUCCGUCUCGAUCGGUCCGCCGCCGGAUCCACCAUGCUGUGCCAUGGGAUGGGCGCCUUGCAGCUAGCUCCUCUGCCGUCGCCUGAUCUGCCUGCCCCCGCCCGUGCUCCAGAUUCGGCUAACAGCCUCGCCUCUGACCCGAUUCAGACAUGCACCCACAGCCUCACUCCGCCACCUGCGCCCCAGCUUGCGAGGAGGCCAGGCCGCGCCUCGUCUAGCUGCGGCCUACCUGUUGUGUCAGUCAGCCCAGCCGCCUCGACCCGGCCUUCUCCGCCCCCAGCUCCAGGCCUCAAACAACUCCCACUUUUUGGAAAUCGCGGGUCCUCCGUCGAGCGAGGGGUGCCGGUGGUGGUGGUGUUCGCUCGGUGGACUUUGUUCCAUUUUCUUCGCUCCUUCACGCUUUGUCUAUUCCUUCUGUUCCCUUUCUCUGCUUGUUUUGAUUUCUAAUGUGGCUUGCUGGUUCUCAUGGCAACUCUCGUACACAUAUAGAUUGGUGAGAAUAUAUGUAUAUCAGCGAGGCGGGACAAUUUAAUUGAAGAACAAACUAUGUACAAAGCUCGUUGUAUCUGAAUUUAGCCACCUAAAAAGGACAGCGGGUUGAAUAAUUAAAAGCAUAGGGCCUUUUUUGUAAGAACGAAACAUUUUCUUGGAGAGCCACUUAAAAUAGGACUG
rnacentral:rRNA from 1 species